GAGCAGUUUGUGUCACAGAUGGCCGGAAGAGACUCUUUUGCCUGGUUACAGGCAUGUUUUUCUGCCAUCCUGUUGAAUUUUCCCAUCAACUCCUU